rnacentral:pre_miRNA from 1 species
UAGAGAAGAGCUUGUCACGUAGACAAGGAAACCUGCCUGAAACCAAGAAAGGAAAGAAUAUCAUUGAUGGUGUAAAAAUCUUUUCCAAGUGGUGCAGGCAAGUCAUUCUUGGAUACCAAAUAAGACUCCUCUCA